CGAGCAACGCCGCGUGAGUGAAGAAGGUUUUCGGAUCGUAAAACUCUGUUGUUAGAGAAGAACAAGGACGUUAGUAACUGAACGUCCCCUGACGGUAUCUAACCAGAAAGCCACGGCUAACUACGUGCCAGCAGCCGCGGUAAUACGUAGGUGGCAAGCGUUGUCCGGAUUUAUUGGGCGUAAAGCGAGCGCAGGCGGUUUCUUAAGUCUGAUGUGAAAGCCCCCGGCUCAACCGGGGAGGGUCAUUGGAAACUGGGAGACUUGAGUGCAGAAGAGGAGAGUGGAAUUCCAUGUGUAGCGGUGAAAUGCGUAGAUAUAUGGAGGAACACCAGUGGCGAAGGCGGCUCUCUGGUCUGUAACUGACGCUGAGGCUCGAAAGCGUGGGGAGCAAACAGGAUUAGAUACCCUGGUAGUCCACGCCGUAAACGAUGAGUGCUAAGUGUUGGAG
rnacentral:rRNA from 1 species